GUAGGGUGCAAGCGUUAAUCGGAAUUACUGGGCGUAAAGCGUACGCAGGCGGUUUUGUAAGUCUGUCGUGAAAGCCCCGGGCUUAACCUGGGAAUUGCGAUGGAGACUGCAAGGCUUGAAUCUGGCAGAGGGGGGUAGAAUUCCACGUGUAGCAGUGAAAUGCGUAGAGAUGUGGAGGAACACCGAUGGCGAAGGCAGCCCCCUGGGUCAAGAUUGACGCUCAUGCACGAAAGCGUGGGGAGCAAACAGGAUUAGAUACCCUGGUAGUCCACGCCCUAAACGAUGUCUACUAGUUGUCGGGUCUUAAUUGACUUGGUAACGCAGCUAACGCGUGAAGUAGACCGCCUGGGGAGUACGGUCGCAAGAUUA
rnacentral:rRNA from 1 species